GGUUCCAUAGUGUAGUCGUUAGCAUGCCUGCCUCAGAAGCAGGGAGUCCUGGGUUCGAUUCCCAGAGGAACCA